rnacentral:lncRNA from 1 species
GUACCAUUGUGCUUCAGCCUGGGCAACAGAAUUUCCAGGAUAGAAGAUUCAUUCUUACCAUAGAUCUUAGCAACCUCAGCCUGCAAUUUUCCUUUCCUUAAGUCAAGAACUAAUGGCUGGGCGUGCCUGCAGCUCUGCAGUAUGGAUACUCUGGACUAGGGAACGGGCAAGACAGAGGGUGCAGGACAGCUCAAGAUUUCAUCACGCUACUCAGAACAGCAUGCAACUUAAAUCAUGAAUUGUUUACUUCCGGAUUUUUCCAUUUAAUAUUUUUGGACCACAGUUGAUUACAGUGAAAACAACUUGGGAGUAGUAAUGAAGAUGACCAGAGGCCAGCGAGCUGAAAGUGUUUCCAGCAAAGCAGCCCUCUGAUCCAUAUACUUUAGCUACAACUUACAUCACCAAGGUCCAUAUUAUAUACUGUGAUAUUCCAGCUGCACAGCGAAGAAUCCGUCACCUGCUGACAAAAACAAAUGAUGCUGAGAGGUUUGGGCACAAUAAAGUGGAUAAUUAUACACAGGCACUUUUUCCCAUGCAGCAUUCUUUAAGGAUGUGCCAGAGGAUCUUGAAAGAUCUUUGAAGAGCUAUGAACUGAUAGAAAUACAAUCUUGGAUUUAUUUUUUAAUCAUUUGCUAGUUAAUAAAAUUACUGCUUUCAAUGUAGAAUUACAGCUUUUAACUGAUCCUACUUUAUUGCAGAUUUGCAUAAAGAAGAAGACAAUCUAAUGUAAUAUCUGAAAGCAAAACAAAGAGAAUAAUAAUAGUUUGAGGUCUGAAUUAUAUUCCUCUGCCUUUUGAUAUGCAUUGCCAAAUUUCCUGUAAGAUAUCCUAAUAUAUUUAUAUAGAAUUUACAAUUCUAUAUAAAUAUUUUAACUUUCUUAAUGUUGUGAUCUUACUUUUAAGAAUCUGGCAACUUAAAUUCAUGACUACUUAAAGAAUCACUUUAUCCUUAUACAUCUAAAGACACGAAAGUCUUAUUUCCUAAGGAAUAAUUGGACCAAAAAUUUUUCAAGCCAGUUUACUUAAGUCAUUAUUUUCCCUGUAACUCAGAAUACAUUAACUCCAGUAUCAAAAUGUAACCAUUAUGAUUCCUCAUGUCUUCAUGACUCUCUAAACUGUGUUGUUAAUCAUUUUGUGAUAAAUCUUUUCAGCAAGCCUAUGAUGACCAAAGUUCAUUAGGAUCAUCAAGAUGUGGAAAAAAAUAACACUAGGUUACAUUAAAAAUGGAAAACAUGCCAAAUUAACUCUUGCAGAUAACCCACUGUCGAAGAUAGGUGAGAUAAAUAAUUUAGGACAUUCAUUUUACAUUUUCAAAUUAAUAAUGUAUAUUCUGUGGCUUUCUAUUUAUAUAUAGAUCCACAUGGGCUACUAUGAAAAAUACAUUUGUUAAAAUACUUUAUCAAAUUAUUUAAAUAAUAAAAUUGACUUUGUCAAGUUUUGCUCAUUUACAAGUAUUUAUUUUAUGUUUCACUAUAUACCAGCUACUGUUUUUGUUAAUCAGCUUUUUUGAGGUAUAUGUUACAUUCACUAAAAUAAACUCAUUUUUAGUGUGUAGUUCAAUGAAUUUUGAUAGGUGUAUACACUUGUGUAACUACCAGCAUAAUCAAGAUACAACACAUUUCAUCCCUCUAAAAUACUUUUCACCCCCACCCUCUGCUCCAAGCAAUCAUUGAUUUACAUUGUUGUAUGUUAGUCUAUUCUAUAUUCUAGAAUUUCACAGAAAUAAAAUUAUUCGGGUGGUGUUAUUUUAUAUAUGGCCUUUUUAAAUUUUUCUCUUGCCAAGUAUAAUAUUUCUGAAAUUAAUCCAUAGUUUCGCAUUUCAGAAGCUCAUUUCUCUCUAUUGCUGAGUACUCCCAUCCUAUGAAGUUCUCUAUUCAUCUGUUUUUAAGAUAUUUUAACUGUUUCCAAUUUUAAGGUAUUACGAACAAGGUGUUAUGAAUAUUUGUGAAUACAUCUUUGUAUGAACAUGUUUUUAUUCUCUUGAUAAAUACUUAGAUUGCUGAGUCAUAUAAUAAACUUGUUUUUAACUUCCAGUCACGGCUUUAAGCUC